rnacentral:misc_RNA from 1 species
GUUGAAAGUGUUUCACAUAGUUAUACUUCUAGUUUCUUUUCCUCUUGGAUGCCCCAAAAGCAACCGUUGGCCUUCAUGUGUUUCCUGUCAAUCAUUGGAUUCAUAGUCAUCAAACAAGAAAAAAGAUGUAAAAUACCUCUUAAUCCUACCCCACUCCUAGUUAUCAACGUACUGCUCUAAUGCUUUCAGGUUUUAAAUAGUAGCCAUCUGCUGGCCUAAAAAUA